UCAUACCGGAUAGCGUAUGGUUCCCACUAAUGGUGCAAAGCAUCAGGGAUGAAUCAGGGAAUGACGUGAUGGCGGACCCAUGUCGGGCGCCCAAUCGUCAGCCGCCCCCGCGACUGUGUGCGGAGAGCGGGCAUCACUUUGCCACUGGGCGUGUCCCGGGAAGGCCGAUGCCCGUAGUGACCCGCGAGCCAGGAGACCGGCCAUACAACGGGCGUUCGC
rnacentral:ncRNA from 2 species